ACCAGCUUUUUUGGGCCCAAAAGAAAAAUCCUUGGAGGCAAUUCCACAGGAGGCAGGUGCAGAAGGAGUUUUGGUUUCCUCAGUGAGAGCAGCAGGGGCUGUGCCUGACCUGGGAAGCACUUGGAAGGCAAGGUUCAGCUGAUCUUUGAAAACCCACCAAGUCUGAACCUGCUCUCAUGGAAAAGAACAAAAAUAACAACUCUGCUCAGGUGAACCAGCUUGAGGAUUUUUUUUUUUCAUCCAGCAACUGCGAGGAGCUUUUUUAUCCCUCUCAUCCCUGACGGUGCCAGGGAUGAGCCGAUGCACACAAGCCCCUGUGCCAGCCAUCUGUUGGGCACAGCCCGUGCCAGCUGCUCGUCGUGGGCUGCAGUUUUUUCCUCAGCAGUGAUGGGAGUUAGAGAGUAUUCAACCAGCCUUUUGUGUUUUCUCAAUACCAUAGAAUCUGUGCAGCU